GCUUGUCUCAAAGAUUAAGCCAUGCAUGUCUAAGUAUAAAUAGUAUACAGUGAAACUGCGAAUGGCUCAUUAAAACAGUUAUAGUUUAUUUGAUAAUUGAAAAUUACAUGGAUAACCGUGGUAAUUCUAGAGCUAAUACAUGCUAUCAAGCCCGACUUUUUGAAGGGUUGUAUUUAUUAGACUUAAGCCAAUAUUCCUUGUGUCUAUUGAUGAAUCAUAAUAACUGUUCGAAUCGCACGGGCAACCGGCGAUAGUUCAUUCAAAUUUCUGCCCUAUCAGCUUUCGACGGUAGUGUAGUGGACUACCGUGGCGUUAACGGGUAACGGAGAAUUAGGGUUCGAUUCCGGAGAGGGAGCCUGAGAAACGGCUACCACAUCCAAGGAAGGCAGCAGG
rnacentral:rRNA from 1 species